GAAGUCCACUGCGAUGAAGGAGUAGCGACCCACAUCGGCCGCGAGCCGUGCGCAGGCGUCCGCGAGGAUGUCGGCGAAGCGUCGGCAGGGGAGCGCAUAGGCCAGCCAUCGAGCUGCGAGAGAAUGUUUUCCCGAGAGCCGACGCUGUCAACUGAGCGGAAGGCGACAAGAAGGGGUUCUUCCGCAUAUUUGGUGCAGGGUGCA
rfam:Bradyrhizobium manausense strain BR3351 contig1954, whole genome shotgun sequence.